CUGCUGCCUUCCGUAGGAGUCUGGGCCGUGUCUCAGUCCCAAUGUGGCCGUCCACCCUCUCAGGCCGGCUACUGAUCGUCGGCUUGGUGGGCCAUUACCCCACCAACUACCUAAUCAGACGCGGGUCCAUCUUACACCACCUCAGUUUUUACCACUGUACCAUGCAGUACUGUGGUCUUAUGCGGUAUUAGCAGUCAUUUCUAACUGUUAUCCCCCUGUGUAAGGCAGGUUACCCACGCGUUACUCACCCGUCCGCCGCU
rnacentral:rRNA from 1 species